GACAGAGGGUGCAAACGUUGUUCGGAAUUACUGGGCGUAAAGCGCGUGUAGGCGGCUAUGUAAGUCGGGCGUGAAAUCCCACGGCUCAACCGUGGAAGUGCACCCGAAACUGCGUAGCUAGAGUCCUGGAGAGGAAGGUGGAAUGCUUGGUGUAGAGGUGAAAUUCGUAGAUAUCAAGCGGAACACCGGUGGCGAAGGCGGCCUUCUGGACAGUGACUGACGCUGAGACGCGAAAGCGUGGGUAGCAAACAGG
rnacentral:rRNA from 1 species